UGUUUUGUCUUCAGUUCUGGCAGCUCUUGAAUGGUGUGUCUCUGUUCAGAAUGGCUCGGCUCCCAGACUGCAGGGAAUGGCAGGUCCGGGUGUGUGGUGCCUGCUUCCUCAUUCUGUUCAUGGGGAAUUUCUUCACUACCCUCGCAGUUGUUCGUCACAAGUCGAAAAGCAGGAAUCCGAAACCAAAGAGCAUGUGACGGAUAAAAAGACACAUGGGAAUGAAAUUAUGUCUCACCAAAAAUAAUUCUGACCGUGCUUCCUGUCACAUCCCAGGAUAUAAUAAAAAAAAACCCAUAUGAUUUCAUAUUGACUAUGGCAAAUGAUGCUGUUAAAUCAAAGCUGGAAGUAUGUCUAUGGUUGUGUUAAAAUACAUAGGUUUCUUAUUCUCCGAAUAAGAAACCUAUGUAUGUGUGAAAAUGACAAUGCAGGAAUGAAAUGACUGUCUAAUAAAGGAUUUAGUUUUCACCAAAA